rnacentral:rRNA from 1 species
UUUUUAUGAGAGUUUGAUCCUGGCUCAGGACGAACGCUGGCGGCGUGCCUAAUACAUGCAAGUCGUACGCUUCUUUUUCCACCGGAGCUUGCUCCACCGGAAAAAGAAGAGUG